GACGAACGCUGGCGGCGUGCCUAAUACAUGCAAGUCGAACGAAGCUGUUUUAACUGGUGCUUGCACCGACUUAAACAACUGAGUGGCGAACGGGUGAGUAACACGUGGGUAACCUGCCCCAAAGCGGGGGAUAACAUUUGGAAACAGAUGCUAAUACCGCAUAACCACAGAAACCACAUGGUUUCUGUGUCAAAGAUGGUUUCGGCUAUCACUUUGGGAUGGACCCGCGGCGUAUUAGCUAGUUGGUAAGGUAAUGGGUUACCAAGGCAAUGAUCCGUAGCCGAACUGAGAGGUUGAUCGGCCACAUUGGGACUGAGACACGGCCCAAACUCCUACGGGAGGAAGCAGUAGGGAAUCUUCCACAAUGGACGAAAGUCUGAUGGAGCAACGCCGCGUGAGUGAAGAAGGUUUUCGGAUCGUAAAACUCUGUUGUCAGAGAAGAACGUGUGCGAGAGUAACUGUUCGUGCAGUGACGGUAUCUGGCCAGAAAGCCACGGCUAACUACGUGCCAGCCGCCGCCGUAA
rnacentral:rRNA from 1 species